rnacentral:tRNA from 1 species
CAGAGAAUAGUUUAUUAAAAUAUUAAUUUUGGAGAUUAAUGAUAGAAAGAUUUUUCUUUCUCUGA